rnacentral:rRNA from 1 species
UGCCGCGUGUGUGAAGAAGGCCUUAGGGUUGUAAAGCACUUUCAGUGGUGAGGAAGGCGUUGUAGUUAAUAGCUGCAACGAUUGACGUUAGCCACAGAAGAAGCACCGGCUAACUCCGUGCCAGCAGCCGCGGUAAUACGGAGGGUGCGAGCGUUAAUCGGAAUUACUGGGCGUAAAGCGCACGUAGGCGGCUUGUUAAGCAAGAUGUGAAAGCCCAGGGCUCAACCUUGGAAUUGCAUUUUGAACUGGCAAGCUAGAGUUUUGAAGAGGGUGGUAGAAUUUCCAGUGUAGCGGUGAAAUGCGUAGAUAUUGGAAGGAAUACCAGUGGCGAAGGCGGCCACCUGGUCAAAAACUGACGCUGAGGAGCGAAAGCGUGGGGAGCAAACAGGAUUAGAUACCCUGGUAGUCCACGCCGUAAACGAUGUCGACUAGUUGUUCGUGUCUUUAAGAUGUGAGUAACGCAGCUAACGCACUAAGUCGACCGCCUGGGGAGUACGGCCGCAAGGUUAAAACUCAAAUGAAUUGACGGGGGCCCGCACAAGCGGUGGAGCAUGUGGUUUAAUUCGAUGCAACGCGAAGAACCUUACCAUCCCUUGACAUCCAGAGAAUUAUCUAGAGAUAGAUGAGUGCCUUCGGGAACUCUGAGACAGGUGCUGCAUGGCUGUCGUCAGCUCGUGUUGUGAGAUGUUGGGUUAAGUCCCGCAACGAGCGCAACCCUUAUCCUUAGUUGCCAGCACAUAAUGGUGGGAACU